AUGGAGAAGGCCAUGGACUCCUACAACAAGGGGUGUGGCGCCGGCGAGGUCAGGAGGAUCAACGUGGUGUAUUUCCUCAGCCGCGGCGGCAGGACGGACCACCCCCACCUCUUCCGCGUCAACCACCUCCACCGCUCCGGCGUGCGCCUCCGGGAUGUGAAGAGGUGGCUCUCGGAGGUCCGCGGCAAGGACAUGCCGGAGAACUUCUCCUGGGCUUACAAAAGGAAGUACAAGGCCGGGUACGUAUGGCAGGACCUAAUGGACGAUGACCUUAUCACGCCCAUCUCCGACAACGAGUACGUGCUCAAGGGCUGCGACGUGCGAGGAACCCCUCCUCCCUCUCCGUGCGCCGGCGCGCCAAAGCCUUCUUCCUUGGCAGACGAGAAGAAGCUGCACGGUAAGGAAGAGAAGGGCCGGAAGCAGGUCGAGGAGGAGCUGCAGGUGGCGCCAGACUCCGACGGGAGCUCCCCGAAGCCGCCGCCGCCGAUCGACCAGGACUCGCCGAGCAGCGAGGGCGAGGCGGCGCAUUUCAGGAUCGUCUUGCCGCUGGACCUCCAGGAGCGAAAGCGGCGGCAGCAGGAAGCCGCGAGGCGUGCAGCCAUCGAUCAGCAGGCGUUGGUGGUGCGGGCGGCGGCGCCGGGCGGCAGGAAGCAGCAGCCGGCUGUGGGGAGGGCGCGGAGGAUGCGCGUGGCGCGGGUGCUCCACAGCAUCCUGACGUGCGGCGCGGCCGACUCCGUGGACGCCGCCGCGCUCCAGCCCGUCGCGCUGCCUCGGGCGAGAGGUGGCUCAGACGACGACGAGGAGUGGCGGGACACGACGCCCGUGUGCCCCGGCAUGGACGGCUGCGGCAUCCACAUGAACAGGAAGGUGAGGCUGCGGCGAGGCGGGAAAGACAAGGCGAAGCCGGAGGGAGGGAAGCGUCCCGGCGCCGUCGCGGCGGCGCACAAGCCGGCGAGCCUGCCGCUCUGCUCGCAGUGUGGGAAGGAGUUCAAGCCGCAGGAUUUGCACUUGCACAUGCAGUCAUGCAGGGGCUUCAGGGCGCGGAUGAGGAGCAGCACCGGUACCCGUGGCAUGGACAAGAACCACAUGAGGAGCGCCAGAACCGACAAUUCCUCCCCGGAGAGGCCAUCCACCGGGCUCCUCCUCACUCAUUAG
rnacentral:rRNA from 1 species